CGAUCCGUAGCUCAAUGGUAGAGCGGCUGCCUGAUGCGCAGCGGGUUCCUGGUUCAAGUCCGGGCGGAUCGA
rnacentral:tRNA from 1 species